AGUGAACGCUGGCGGCGUGCCUAAUACAUGCAAGUCGAACGAUGAAGUCCUAGCUUGCUCGGAUGGAUUAGUGGCGCACGGGUGAGUAAUAUAUAGUUAAUCUGCCCUACACAGAGGAACAACAGUUGGAAACGACUGCUAAUACCUCAUACUCCUAUUUGACAUAAGUUAAAUAGGGAAAGUCUUUUCGGUGUAGGAUGAGACUAUAUCGUAUCAGCUAGUUGGUAAGGUAAUGGCUUACCAAGGCUAUGACGCGUAACUGGUCUGAGAGGAUGAUCAGUCACAUUGGAACUGAGACACGGUCCAAACUCCUACGGGAGGCAGCAGUAAGGAAUAUUGCGCAAUGGGGGAAACCCUGACGCAGCAACGCCGCGUGGAGGAUGACAUUUUUCGGAGCGUAAACUCCUUUUAUCAGGAAAGAAUAAUGACGGUACCUGAUGAAUAAGCACCGGCUAACUCCGUG
rnacentral:rRNA from 1 species